UACGUAGGGGGCAAGCGUUGUCCGGAUUUAUUGGGCGUAAAGAGCGUGUAGGCGGCUUGGUAGGUCCGCUGUGAAAACUCGAGGCUCAACCUCGAGAUGUCGGCGGAAACCAUUUGGCUAGAGUCCGGAAGAGGUGAGUGGAAUUCCCAGUGUAGCGGUGAAAUGCGUAGAUAUUGGGAGGAACACCAGUGGCGAAGGCGGCUCACUGGACCGGUACUGACGCUGAUGCGCGAAAGCGUGGGUAGCAAACAGG
rnacentral:rRNA from 1 species